rnacentral:rRNA from 1 species
CACGUAGGGCGCAAGCGUUGUCCGGAAUCAUUGGGCGUAAAGAGCGUGUAGGCGGCUUGGUAAGUCCGCUGUGAAAGUCCAGGGCUCAACCCUGGAAAGCCGGUGGAAACUGUCAAGCUUGAGUCCGGAAGAGGCGAGUGGAAUUCCUGGUGUAGCGGUGAAAUGCGCAGAUAUCAGGAGGAACACAAAUGGCGAAGGCAGCUCGCUGGGACGGUACUGACGCUGAGACGCGAAAGCGUGGGGAGCAAACAGG